rnacentral:rRNA from 1 species
CGGAGAGUUUGAUCCUGGCUCAGGACGAACGCUGGCGGCGUGGAUAAGGCAUGCAAGUCGAACGGGAUGGGGAUUCAAGCAAUUGUGUCCCUUGAGAGUGGCGAACGGGUGAGUAACACGUGGGUAACAUACCUCCGGGUGGGGGAUAACUCAGGGAAACCUGGGCUAAUACCGCAUACGGUCAGACUGCCCAUGGCAGAUUGAUCAAAGGUGGGGACCUUCGGGCCUGCCGCCUGGAGAUUGGCCCGCGUCCCAUUAGCUUGUUGGCGGGGUAAAGGCCCACCAAGGCGACGAUGGGUAGCCGGCCUGAGAGGGUGUCCGGCCACACUGGGAUUGAGAUACGGCCCAGACUCCUUCGGGAGGCAGCAGUCGAGAAUCUUCCCCAAUGGGCGAAAGCCUGAGGGAGCGACGCCGCGUGAGGGAUGAAGGCCCUUUGGGUUGUAAACCUCUGUUAGGGGGAAAGAAAAGCAGUGGAAGCAAUAUGUCCAUUGCCUGACGUUACCCCCAGAGAAAGCUCCGGCCAACUCCGUGCCAGCAGCCGCGGUAAUACGGGGGGAGCAAGCGUUGUCCGGAAUCAUUGGGCGUAAAGGGCGUGUAGGCGGCUUGGCAAGUCGAAUGUGAAAUCCCACGGCUCAACCGUGGAACUGCGUUCGAAACUGCCUUGCUUGAGUGCGGGAGAGGUGUGCGGAAUUCCUGGUGUAGCGGUGGAAUGCGUAGAUAUCAGGAAGAACACCGGUGGCGAAGGCGGCACACUGGCCCAGCACUGACGCUGAGGCGCGAAAGCGUGGGGAGCGAACGGGAUUAGAUACCCCGGUAGUCCACGCUGUAAACUUUGGGCACUAGGUAUUGGAGGUCUCAACCCCUUCAGUGCCGUAGCUAACGCGUUAAGUGCCCCGCCUGGGGAGUACGGUCGCAAGGCUGAAACUCAAAGGAAUUGACGGGGGCCCGCACAAGCGGUGGAGCAUGUGGUUUAAUUCGAUGCAACGCGAAGAACCUUACC